GGCUGAGACGUCUGUCAAUCCAACGGACACGGCUAAAGUCUUGGUCAAACGACAGCAUCUGGAACAGUCAUGACAUCUGAACAAAUACAGAUCGCUGCUGAGGGGUAGUGAAGAAACUACCAACUACUAAAUACAUUAGGUACUAGUUUCAGUAAAAACGUAUUUAUAUAUUGAAUAAAGAAGCCACGCCUCCGCUGUUAGCUAACGUUAAACCAUGUUUAUUAGCCAAAUUAACUGUGCUAUAGGUCCAGGCUGAACAAGUUCAAGAGUUUUAAAUUAAGGAGUUGUUGGAACAGCUUGAUCAGCCACGCCAGGCUGGGAGAGGGGCCUAGCCUUGGAGUGAGGGGUCCUGAGGGGCAGUGAGGAACACCUCAGGACGUUACCUGGACUGGACUUGACCUGCUCACGAGAACGGAGCUACGGGAGGCGACGGACCGUGGUGACAUCCGGAUCUACGGGAAACAGAACAUAACAAGACCCAGACUCAUUAUGAAGAGUGACAAACAACAGUUAGUUGGGAUCAGGGAGGUUUCAUUCUUUGACUGAAUCCCUUUCAGUUAGAAUAAAAUGCCUCAUUAAAGCAGCACACUUGAAAGGUUGCUCAAAUCGACAUUAGAUCAAACUGCAGCUUGCUGUUAUGAGGGGGGUGAUUUCAUGUGCAAAUUACAUAGAAGGUAAAACAAUGUGGUGAUAGACUGUUGACCACAUAAUUAGUAGUUUCAAGCCCGUUCUUUCUCAGUGCAACAUUCUGUCAUGCAUAUUCAAAUACGUGCCCUGUGCUGCCAUUUUAAUUGGUUUAAGAGUUUCAACUGACAACAGAGAAGAGGCGACGGCAGCUCUGUUCGGCAGCACUCUGGCCUCGACUGAAAGAGCCGUCAGUCUGUCUGUCAUGCAAAACAUCUUUCAGGGUUUGUUUACCAGGCGUGCAGCGGAGUGAGCACUCUUUGGCUGCUAAUGUGACAGUUGCACUCUGGCUUUCAGUUCAGUGGACAUGUUGUUUUGGAGAGAAAGCAGGAGGAUGGUACCCAACUUAUCUGAUUACAGAUGAUGUACAUCACACAUCUCCGACCAACUUCACAGUGAGAAAGCCAGGCGAGAGGGAAAGGAUGCCGGGUAUCGGUAAACAAGGCUUGACUGACGUGGCGGCAGACGAUUUGUGAGGCUCAGCUGAAGAUCCGUGCCACACGCAUGCCUCUGAACUGGAGGAGAUCAGAGUAAAGGCAGACGCACCACGAGAAAGAGUGGCUCAAAUUGACAGACAUACGACACCUGACGAGAAUGCAGCUCCGUGAAAGCAACAGAAAUCAGGUCUACGGAACUUGACUGGGGAUGUUGCCCCCGCGUCCCAAACUUUCCAGAGUAGCAGAUGAAGAGAGAAGUCAGGAGGCUGGAUCAGCUGGCCUGUGAUCUCCUGCGCGAGCCAAGCUGUCUGAUUGGCUGGAGGGCUGCAGGGCCAUCUUGCCUCCCUGGCAGGCAAGUGGCUCCAACAGUUUGGUUGAGGAGGUGUGUGUGUGUGUGUGUGUGUGUGUGUGUGUGUGUGUGUGUGUGUGUGUGUGUGUGUGUGUGUGUGUGUGUGUGUGUGUGUGUGUGUGUGUGUGUGUGUGUGUGUGUGUGUGAGGGGGGUAAGAGCUUGGAAAAGCAGAGGGAGAAAAUGUGUGGGUGUUGGAGUGUUGGGAGGGAAGGGUUUUCAUGACUGGGAACUGUGAAUACAUGGACGGCAUGGCUGUGCGUGCGUGCGUGCGUGCGUGUGUGCGUUGUAGCGUUUGGUUGUAUGUAGCGAGUCUGCGUCUCUCAAAAGGCCUGAAAUAGUUCAAAUGAAGUCUUAGCUACAAUAAAUCUGUUGUCCGUUUAUGUCAAUUGUUGACUUAAAUUACUAUUCGUAACUAUCCUGUUUUUCUUUGUUGUGGAAGCCAAAGCUUUUACAGUUUUUGCAGUUGUUACACGAGACGUUUCCCUCUUUCUUUUGUGGGCACCUCGGCCGGGGAAGCGGAGUCUGUGGAUGUGAGGGUCGGAGCGUAGCAGCAGGCGGCGUGUGGCUCUGCUCCGGGCUGUAGCAGGGACACGCACAGGCUGAAAUGUUAAACCAAGGUCCUUUGUGUUAUUGCUGACAUUAUGUUUCAUUUUCUAAUUCCCCCCGGCUGCACUUUUGAUGAGCGCACAGACACUGAGUGGGUGUAGUAGAGUAGCACAGAUAAUGACCAGCACUCGUAGCGUAGUGGUCGUUAAAAGGGGCUGUUGACCCUUCUUCUCCUCUUCUUCUUCUUUCUCUGCCUUUAUUUCAUGGCACCUGGAGGGAGGCACGCUGGAUGCUGCUCCUUAGUUAUGGCAUUACAACAGAAGCAGGAUCCGAUGAUUCCAACUUAUCCUCGACCCCUUUACUACAGUAAAUAUAACAGAUUAUAAAUGAUCACCAUCAGAUUAGUCCUGUGUGUUGUUCUGAUGAAGGACAAGAAAAGGGUCUGUCUGAAUGAGGUCAGAAAGAAAAAGAGGUGGAGAUACUUGAAUCCAACAGCUAAAAAUCAGCACAAUGGCAAAAGUGACAAAGUCUGUUAGAGUCAUUACAGCUAAUCACAUGUUAAAGCUGGAACGUGGACUUGCUAACUUAACCUUUCACAGUCUCCUGUGUGUGUGUGUGUGUGUGUGUGUGUGUGUGUGUGUGUGUGUGUGUGUGUGUGUGUGUGUGUGUGUGUGACAUCAUCCAGUGAGGGGCUUUGUUGCUGUGACACCCAUGGCCUUCUGGAGCCCAGACACCCCCUGUGGAGACCAGAGAGAAGUGUCACCUUGAUCACUGUCCCCGGGAGACUGCCACCAUGCUCACACACACACACACACACAAACACAAACACACACACACUCACACACACACACACACACACUCACGCAUGUACGUACGUACGUAUGCACACACACACAGUAUGGUUUGCUAAGGUUGUGAGGACCACUUCCUGUCCUUCUUGUAGAAUCUUGAAGUCUCUAACGUGUAACGGAAAUGUUUAACGCAGGCAGUCUAAGGUUCUUCUUCUUUCAAUGGAUGGAAGGAUUUUGCAUUGAGCUGUGUUCACAUUUUGUGUCAUACCGUUUGUGACUUUGAUUCAUCAAGCUGAUUUUCAAUCAGGAGGAGCCAGUAGACAACAUGGGCGCGGCCAGCCAGCGGCGGCAGCCAUUGUUUUCUCUUUCCAAGCACGAACCCAAGGCCGGGUGUGAUGUCUCGCGAGUGCAGGAGCAGGCGGAGGGAGGGCGAGGGGCACUCGCUCUCCAGAGCCGCCGUGUCUCCUGUGACAGGUGAUAAAGCCUGAAAUGCCAGCCCAGUGCUCUGCGCAGGUGUGGAGAAUAUGUCUGGGAAUGGCCAAACCCUCUGUUCACAAGUCUCUUGACACCUGCAACAACCGGCGGACUGGAGGCGAUGAUACAUGUCACCUUGGGUUCUGUUCUUGUGCUCAUCUUUCUUGCUGCCCUGCUGUUGCAGUGCUUCUUGAAACGCUUGCAUCAGGGCAGUGGUGAGUCUCCACCUUUGACUUUCACAAGAACAGAAGUUGUGGCUGAGCACGAGAGUUCCACAAUCAGGGCCCAGCCAUUGUCGGCACCGUUUGCUGUGAUUAUGUGUUGCUUGUGUGAAGAGCGGCCGGUUUGACUCAUUCACCGUCCCUCUGAUGUUGUACCCGUCUCACAUUAGCCUCCUGACCACAGUCUCUGUGGCGACAGGGGCUUCAAGAUGUUUUCAAAUCUCUGCUGCUAAUGUCUUGCUGAGAGUGGCCAUCUGUUUUUGCAUCUCCCACCGAAGCUGUGGCUCCCUCCUUCACUGCUGUGUGCUGGUUCUGGAAGCCCAACUGGUGUCCAUGAGUCUGUCCUUUACCGCCACUCAUCCCUGUCCCAGUCACGCCACCGUGAGGGCAGGCAGCCAUGCCGUGAUGGAGUGGACAUCAUGGGGCGGCUGCUGGUCGCUGGCGGUGACGAGGACCAGCUCUCCAGCCACACUGUCACCGCUCAGCAUGAAUAUCGCAUUAGAUGGAAAUGAUUGUUUUUACAGAUUGAAUUGCAAAAGUUUAAGGGCAGGAUUGUUUUCAAAUACGUUUACAUUUUAAAAUGUUUCUCAUGUUCCUACAUGUGACGUUUGGUAACAGGAUGCACCUACAUAUGACUGCAGGUUCACUUUAGGUGAACUUUCAUUCUGCUAAUUAAAAGUCAAAUUAUACUGAGUGUGACACCGAAGUCUGAAUUAGAAUCUGAACUGGGUUUUAUCGGACUCAUGUUUUCAAUAACUAACAUAUCGGGUUGCUAUUACAAAAAUGUGAUCUGUCAAGCAAAUAGGAAAUUCAUGUAUGUUUCAGCCAUCUUCUCAUUAGCUACAUUUAGUCUUAAAUUCAAUUUCAAUUUUUUGCAGUGGAAAAGAACUAAAAAGCUCCCAGAUCAGUCGAGCCUGUCAACAGAGCAAAGUCAGGACUUUCUCUCAGGCCGUCGCUUCUGCAGAUGUGCUGAUUUUGACUCUGAGCCAUUAAAGGGGUGACUUGAGCCAUAGAUCAGGGUAAUUGUGGCAUUAGGCAGCAAAUUGGAGCUAAAAUAACCAGAUGCAGGGGCAGAACUGAAGCGAUGCUUAUUCUAAGUUCAAGGAGAGUUCAAGCAUAGAGUGGAUGCGUAACCCCACCAGGUCCCAGCAAGUGGACUCUUCAGAAAUUAGCUUCACAAAUAUAUGAUUUCCAAAGGGUGUAAUUGUCUUCACGCUUAUGGUCAUUCACGCCCCAUUUCAUUUUCCAUAAGUCUAGAUUAUUCUUGCAAGGGUAUGUUGCACCCACGGCUGCAGGACCACGCUCUUUUUCUGUCUUUGCACUUUAAGAAGCGAAGCGUCGCUCUGAAAACCCCUGUCAAUAUGGAUUGUAAGAGAUGGUGGUCGUGUAAACUUUUAUGACGGCCAUAAAGACGGUCGGCACAGCCCAGCGUAACCCCCCCCCCCACCCCCACCUUACCAUGCGAUCCCUCCAUCAAACAUGGGAUGUGACAUCGGUCAUUGGGGGCUAUUUUCUAAAGAUUUCCACCUCAGACAUCAGUCUUCACUGGUGCUGGUGUUUUUUUUAAACAGGAAAUCGUUUAAUAGCAUUUGCAACAUUUGUCAAUAAAAUGUUUUCUCCUGUUUCUAACAACUGAUUCUGGCUUUUUGCUUAUACUAAUUUCCUUUGUAUUAAAUCUGUUCUAAUGGGUUUAAUUUUCUGCUUAUUUAAUUCUUUUAUUUUUUUAAUGGUGGAUGCCUCAUUUUGCAACAACCGUUUUUAAUGGAACAUAAUUAUUGUUAUUCAUAUAAACUGUCUUAUGCUACAAGCUACUGAAUUACUUUGAAGACAAUUGCAAAGAAUCAUCCUUUCAAUUGCAUCACUUCAUUAGCUGCUACAAUGGGACAAUGAGCCCAAUUAUUCAGAAUCCCCAUUCCCGCUCGCUAUGGCUCCUUCUCUGACCGUCUGCGGGGGCUGGCUCUGUGCCAGUGUGCAUUCACUGAGCCCUGAUUUGCUGUAAUUAUCUGAAAUGAUCAUUAUUUUGCAAUUUAUUCAGACUUGUGACAGCGUUUAAGUUUUGCCCACUUUUCUUAAAUUCAGAUGAGGUUGGAGGUAGAAUGAGGAUCCAGAACCACUAAACUGGAUGAGGGGUAAAUGAAAAUAUUUGAAUGGAACACAAGAAGAUUUAAUCCAACGAACAAAACGCGAGUCGUCCUAUUUUCAACCAAAAGGUCUACAGAGGAAACCGAGCUUGACAGAGCUUUCUUUGUGAGGGAGGUGGUGGGGGGGGGGGGUCUGUGGCUGUAGGCAAUGACUAAAACACGAUCAACCUUCUCCCUAUCUCCUCACGCUGCCUGGCCCACAGACCCCCGCUAAUUAAAGUGAUACAACAUCUCACAGGCCAGUGCGCACAUCUAAUGGGCUGAGAGAGGCCCUCCUACCUCAUCCAGGCGCUGUGCAGCUAGAGAUCAGGAACCCGGCAACGUAGCACCAAUAAAAGCCUCCCAACAUCUAAUGACCUUAAACUGUGGCCUUGUCGUGUCAUUUGGCUCAUAUCAGUCUGUGACGCUGACACACAUACAGAGAUCAGGGCAAAUGUUGGGUCACGGUGUCACAGAGAUUACUUCAUGUAAGACCAUAACACACAAUGUUAAAGAGGACAUUUUGUUUAGUAGUAGUUUUUAUUAAAGAAAUGAUUAAGGUUAAAAUGGUUAAAAAAGACUGAUACAAUAAAGAUGGGCAAAAAAAUAGAAAACUAAAAAUAAAAGGGGAAACAAGUGGAGAAGUAAAAGCUGAGAAGGUGUGAAGCUGGAAAUGAAAGAACAGAGUGGAAGUAAACAGAGAGAGUAUAGAGACGGUAAAGAAAGUAAAGGAGACGUCAAGAUGAGAAAACAAAGUGAAACAGGAGGUAAAACAAAAAUACAGAAUAAAAGGAGAAAAAAAUAGCAACGCUUCCUAAGGAGCGAGAAGCAACAGCCAAGAAAGACAGAAACACAAAUAUCAGAAGAAAAGAAAGGAAUCAAAGACAAACAGAGGAACAAUGAUCGACUUCUGAGAUAGAGACGGAGAGAAAACAAAGACGAGGCGAAGCAAACACUCGUGGAGCAGCCUGUGUUUGGUCAUUUGGAAACUCUUCUUCUUGGAUGAUGUUCCGCUGAACUGUGUGCGUGUGUGCGCGCUCGCACACAUUGGCCUCCACGCCUCGCGCUCGCUGCCAACGUCAGCAAUGAAGUGGUCAGGCACAGCUUGGCUUGUCACAGGAAGCAGUGGGUGAGCCACAUGAAGCUCAGAGGACAGGCCAA